rnacentral:rRNA from 1 species
AAUGCCGGAUGCUCCAUCACACCGCAUGGUGUGUUGGGAAAGCCUUUGCGGCAUGGGAUGGGGUCGCGUCCUAUCAGCUUGAUGGCGGGGUAACGGCCCACCAUGGCUUCGACGGGUAGCCGGCCUGAGAGGGCGACCGGCCACAUUGGGACUGAGAUACGGCCCAGACUCCUACGGGAGGCAGCAGUGGGGAAUAUUGCACAAUGGGCGCAAGCCUGAUGCAGCGACGCCGCGUGAGGGAUGGAGGCCUUCGGGUUGUAAACCUCUUUUGUUAGGGAGCAAGGCAUUUUGUGUUGAGUGUACCUUUCGAAUAAGCACCGGCUAACUACGUGCCAGCAGCCGCGGUAAUACGUAGGGUGCAAGCGUUAUCCGGAAUUAUUGGGCGUAAAGGGCUCGUAGGCGGUUCGUCGCGUCCGGUGUGAAAGUCCAUCGCUUAACGGUGGAUUCGCGCCGGGUACGGGCGGGCUUGAGUGCGGUAGGGGAGACUGGAAUUCCCGGUGUAACGGUGGAAUGUGUAGAUAUCGGAAAAGAACACC